AUUGAACGCUGGCGGCAGGCCUAACACAUGCAAGUCGAGCGAGCGGCGGACGGGUGAGUAAUGUAUGGGGACUGCCCGAUAGAGGGGGAUAACUACUGGAAAAGGUGGUGAAUACCGCAUACUGUCGAAUAACCCAUAGGGGAGUAGCUAGUGAGUAAGGUAAUGGCUUACCUAGGCGACGUUCCCUAGCUGUACUGAGAGGAUGAUCAGCCACACUGGGAGCGAGACACGGCCCAGACUCCUCCGGAGGCAGCAGUGGGGAAUAUUGCACAAUGGGCGCAAGCCUGAUGCAGCCAUGCCGCGUGUAUGAAGAAGGCCCUAGGGUUGUAAAGUACUUUCAGUCGGGAGGCGUUACCGACAGAAGAAGCACCGGCUAACUCCGUGCCAGCCGCCGCGGUAAUUC
rnacentral:rRNA from 1 species